AGGCGAUCUCACUACUUAUACUUCUGCUAGCUGCUUGUCAAGUGAUCUCACUACUUAUACUUCUGCUAGCUGCUUGUCAAGUAUUCUCACUACAGAAACCUUUGAUAGCUGCUUGUCAGGCGAUCUCACUACUUAUACUUCUGCUAGCUGCUUGUCAAGUAUUCUCACUACAGAAACCUUUGAUAGCUGCUUGUCAGGUGAUCUCACUACUUAUACUUCUGCUAGCUGCUUGUCAAGCGAUCUCACUACUUAUACUUCUGCUAGCUGCUUUUCAAGUAUUCUCACUACAGAAACCUUUGAUAGCUGCUUGUCAGGCGAUCUCACUACUUAUACUUCUGCUUGAUGCUUGUCAGGCGAUCUCACUACUUAUACUUCAAAGCGAUCUCACUACAAAUGCCUCCAAUAUUUGCUUGUCCAGCGAUCUCAAUACAGAUGUCACUUCUAGAAGCUUGUCAAGCGAUCGCGCUACUUAUACCUCUGCUAGCUGCUUGAGAAGCGACCUCACUACUUAUGACUCUGCUAGCUGCUUGUCAAGCGAUCUCACUGCUUUUGUCUCAUUUAAUAUCUCAACCUUACUGAGAGAGAUAACAGUGUAAUGAUGUAUUGACCAGGAGAGUCAUGCAGAGAAUCGACUUUAUCAAAUCUGAUACAUUCCUCGAACUGAUAACUGACUGUGCCAGGCUGAUAAUCAGUCCAAGUAUCCCGCAGGAUGAUCUCAAAGUAUUGCAUAUCACAGUGACGGGGACCAUCUCAAAACUUGCAUCAAUGCAACCAUACUGGUAACAGUUUGUGCAGUUUUGAUGGAAAUAGAUUCAUCAUUGUCUCAGAUCACAUUGAUAAAUGUUUAUGCUGUAUUUUGCAGUAAAUUAUACCUGUUGCCAUGAAGAAAAUUCCAUAACAACAACACAACAGUCAUUGUAAACAUCCCUUUGUUCAGUCAGGUGCAGGUCCAUGGUUAAAAUGUAGUCAUAUGCUAAUGUAUGCUAAUGUAUGCUAAUUAACCCAAAAUUAUUAUUCUGAUUUGUGUCCUUCCAAAACUUUUGGUUUAUCGUAUUCGCCUGAUUAAAUGCUCUGGUACAAAAUACACCCUCUGACCAUCUUUUAGUUUUAUUAAACAGCAAACCACCACCCCCAUUGUAUAACUGCAUAUGAC